rnacentral:rRNA from 1 species
UGAGUAACGCGUGAGGAACCUGCCUUCCAGAGGGGGACAACAGUUGGAAACGACUGCUAAUACCGCAUGAUACAUUUGAAUCGCAUGGUUUGAAUGUCAAAGAUUUAUCGCUGGAAGAUGGCCUCGCGUCUGAUUAGCUAGUUGGUGAGGUAACGGCCCACCAAGGCGACGAUCAGUAGCCGGACUGAGAGGUUGGCCGGCCACAUUGGGACUGAGAUACGGCCCAGACUCCUACGGAAGGCAGCAG